rnacentral:rRNA from 1 species
UACGUAGGGGGCAAGCGUUAUCCGGAUUUACUGGGUGUAAAGGGAGCGUAGACGGAAUUGCAAGUCUGAUGUGAAAAUCCGGGGCCCAACCCCGGAACUGCAUUGGAAACUGUAUUUCUAGAGUGUCGGAGAGGCAAGUGGAAUUCCUGGUGUAGCGGUGAAAUGCGUAGAUAUCUGGAGGAACAUCAGUGGCGAAGGCGGCCACCUGGACCGGUAUUGACGCUGAGGCGCGAAAGCGUGGGGAGCAAACAGG